rnacentral:rRNA from 1 species
GACAGAGGUGCCGAGCGUUAGGCGGAAUCACUGGGCUUAAAGCGUGUGUAGGCGGAUCGUUAAGUGCCUUGUGAAAUCCCACGGCUCAACCGUGGAACUGCUUGGCAUACUGGCGAUCUUGAGCCACUUAGGGGCUACCGGAACAAAUGGUGGAGCGGUGAAAUGCGUAGAUAUCCACAGGAACUCCGGUGGCGAAGGCGGCGUGCUGGACCCGAUCUGACGCUGAGGCGCGAAAGCCAGGGGAGCAAACGGG